rnacentral:rRNA from 1 species
UACAGAGGGGGCAAGCGUUGUUCGGAAUUACUGGGCGUAAAGGGCGCGUAGGCGGCCUGCUAAGUCGAACGUGAAAUCCCCGGGCUUAACCCGGGAGCUGCCUCCGAUACGGCAUGGCUUGAGUCCGGGAGAGGGGAGCAGAAUUCCCAGUGUAGCGGUGAAAUGCGUAGAUAUUAGGAAGAACACCAGUGGCGAAGGCGGCUCACUGGCCCGGUACUGACGCUGAGGCGCGAAAGCGUGGGGAGCAAACAGG